rnacentral:rRNA from 1 species
UGGGGAAUAUUGCACAAUGGUCGCAAGCCUGAUGCAGCCAUGCCGCGUGUAUGAAGAAGGCCUUCGGGUUGUAAAGUACUUUCAGUCGGGAGGAAGGUGGUAAGGUUAAUAACCUUAUCAAUUGACGUUACCGACAGAAGAAGCACCGGCUAACUCCGUGCCAGCAGCCGCGGUAAUACGGAGGGUGCAAGCGUUAAUCGGAAUUACUGGGCGUAAAGCGCACGCAGGCGGUUUGUUAAGUCAGAUGUGAAAUCCCCGGGCUCAACCUGGGAACUGCAUCUGAUACUGGCAAGCUUGAGUCUCGUAGAGGGGGGUAGAAUUCCAGGUGUAGCGGUGAAAUGCGUAGAGAUCUGGAGGAAUACCGGUGGCGAAGGCGGCCCCCUGGACGAAGACUGACGCUCAGGUGCGAAAGCGUGGGGAGCAAACAGG